UACGGAGGGUGCAAGCGGUGUUCGGAAUCAUUGGGCGUAAAGCGCGUGUAGGCGGCUUGGCAAGUCGGGUGUGAAAUCCCGGGGCCCAACCCCGGAACUGCAUUCGAAACUGCCUCGCUAGAGUCCCGGAGAGGAAGGCGGAAUUCCCGGUGUAGAGGUGAAAUUCGUAGAUAUCGGGAGGAACACCAGCGGCGAAGGCGGCCUUCUGGACGGUGACUGACGCUCAGACGCGAAAGCGUGGGGAGCAAACAGG
rnacentral:rRNA from 1 species